UCGUGGUUCAUAUCUUUCCACUCUCUCUCCUCGAUCCCUACAUACAUAUAUAAUAUAUUAAAAUCAAACUAAUUGAAGGCUAUAUAUACACAGUAGCCUGAAAGUGAAGAUCAAACAAUAUCAAAGCAGAGAAAGAGAGAGAGAGAUUUUGAGUAUAAUAAUGGAGAUGAUGAAAGGAAGGAAGAUGGUAGCUGCGAUGGUGGUGAUGAUGUCUGUGGUUGCGUCGAUGUUUGAAGGGUCGAGAGGGGAAGGCGUAUGCAACAUGAAUGCGGAUGGUCUCAACGCUUGCCGGCGGCCAGCGGUGACGGCACCGAACCCUGCUCCGCCGACCCAACCGUGCUGUGAUGCUAUAAAGGGUGCCGACUUACAGUGCUUCUGUGAUUACAAAAACAACAACGCUUUCCUACUCAGUGCUCUCGGGAUCGAUCCUGACCUCGCCAUGCAAUUACCCGCUAAAUGCAACAUUCCCUCCCCUCCCACGUGUUAAUUAAUAAUAAGGUGUGUGAACAAGACUGUAGGCCUUCCGUCUCGGCUUGGUGUUAAUUUCACUCAUAUGGUUUUAUGAUAUGUAAUUUUAAUUGUAUUAUUUUUCUAAUUGUUUGGGAAUGUAUUUGCAAUAUAUAAUAUGUAAUAAUAUUGUGGUUCUUUUCUAUAUCUGAGAUAGAAAUCCCAAGAUUUCUACGUUGUAGUGUGAUGAUUAUCAAUGAGAGUUUUAUAUUUAUUACUAUUAUUA